rnacentral:rRNA from 1 species
GACGAACGCUGGCGGCGUGCCUAAUACAUGCAAGUCGAGCGAGCGGAACUAACAGAUUUACUUCGGUAAUGACGUUAGGAAAGCGAGCGGCGGAUGGGUGAGUAACACGUGGGGAACCUGUCCCAUAGUCUGGGAUACCACUUGGAAACAGGUGCUAAUACCGGAUAAGAAAGCAGAUCGCAUGAUCAGCUUUUAAAAAGCGGCGUAAGCUGUCGCUAUGGGAUGGCCCCGCGGUGCAUUAGCUAGUUGGUAAGGUAAAGGCUUACCAAGGCGAUGAUGCAUAGCCGAGUUGAGAGACUGAUCGGCCACAUUGGGACUGAGACACGGCCCAAACUCCUACGGGAGGCAGCAGUGGGAAUAUUGCACAAUGGGGAAACCCUGAUGCAGCGACGCCGCGUGAAGGAAGAAGUAUCUCGGUAUGUAAACUUCUAUCAGC